rnacentral:rRNA from 1 species
AGGGCACCACCAGGAGUGGAGCCUGCGGCUUAAUUUGACUCAACACGGGAAAACUCACCCGGCCCGGACACUGGAAGGAUUGACAGAUUGAGAGCUCUUUCUUGAUUCAGUGGGUGGUGGUGCAUGGCCGUUCUUAGUUGGUGGAGUGAUUUGUCUGGUUAAUUCCGAUAACGAACGAGACUCCAGCCUAUUAAAUAGAUCGUUGGCUUACAAACGCCGGCGAGACUUCUUAGAGGGACAGGCGGCGAUUCAGCCGCACGAAACAGAGCAAUAACAGGUCUGUGAUGCCCUUAGAUGUCCGGGGCCGCACGCGCGCUACACUGAAGUGAUCAGCGUGCAUUUUGAAACCUACUCUGUCAAGAGUGGGGAACCCAAUGAACCUUCUUCGUGAUUGGGAUAGGGGAUUGUAAUUAUUCCCCUUGAACGAGGAAUUCCCAGUAAGCGCGAAUCAUAAGUUUGCGCUGAUUACGUCCCUGCCCUUUGUACACACCGCCCGUCGCUACUACCGAUUGAAUGUUU